rnacentral:rRNA from 1 species
UACGGAGGGGGCUAGCGUUAUUCGGAAUUACUGGGCGUAAAGCGCACGUAGGCGGACUGGAAAGUUGGAGGUGAAAUCCCAGGGCUCAACCUUGGAACUGCCUUCAAAACUCCCAGUCUUGAGAUCGAGAGAGGUGAGUGGAAUUCCGAGUGUAGAGGUGAAAUGCGUAGAUAUUCGGAGGAACACCAGUGGCGAAGGCGGCUCACUGGCUCGAUACUGACGCUGAGGUGCGAAAGCGUGGGGAGCAAACAGG